CCAAUCAACUGCAGUCAUCGUUGGAAGAAGCGGAUGCAGAAGAGAAGGACCCAUCCCAAGGAGCAGAAGAGAAGGACCUGUGCCAAAGAACAGAGGAGAGGGACCCAUUCCAAGGAACAGAAGAGAUGGACCAUUCCUAAAGAGCAGAAGAGAAGGACCCAUCUUAAGGAUUAGAAGAGAAGGAAUCAUCCUAAGGAGCAGAAGAGAAUGACCCAUCCCAAGGAGCACAAGAGAGGACCCGUCUCAAAAAGUAGAAGAGAACGACCUAUCCCGAGGAGCAGAAGAGGACCCAGUUCAUCAGCUGCAAGUGGUUGAGGAUCAGGGAAUUUAAUGUGGCAUAGUGGAUUAAAGGAAAGAACCUUGGCUGACCUACAGAUCCCUUAUUGAGAAGAAGUAUGUCUUUAACUCAACUGCAGCAAUCGUUGGAAGAUGCAGAAGAUUUAGGCUGGGAUAUUGGUCAUAGAGGUACUAAGUCCAGUCAACAGAAGAUUGGGCUCAGCUAUGACCAGCAGAAAAUGUUGGCC